rnacentral:tRNA from 2 species
AAAAUUUUAAGUUAUUAUAAACUAUUAAUCUUCAAAAUUAAAAAUAAAAUAAUUAAUUUUUAAAUUUUA